rnacentral:rRNA from 2 species
GAAUGCUGACAUAAGUAACGAUAAAGCGGGUGAAAAGCCCGCUCGCCGGAAGACCAAGGGUUCCUGUCCAACGUUAAUCGGGGCAGGGUGAGUCGACCCCUAAGGCGAGGCCGAAAGGCGUAGUCGAUGGGAAACGGGUUAAUAUUCCCGUACUUGGUGUUACUGCGAAGGGGGGACGGAGAAGGCUAUGUUGGCCGGGCGACGGUUGUCCCGGUUUAAGCGUGUAGGUGUGUGUUCCAGGUAAAUCCGGUUCACUUUAACACUGAGGCGUGACGACGAGGCACUACGGUGCUGAAGCAACAAAUGCCCUGCUUCCAGGAAAAGCCUCUAAGCAUCAGGUAACAUCAAAUCGUACCCCAAACCGACACAGGUGGUCAGGUAGAGAAUACCAAGGCGCUUGAGAGAACUCGGGUGAAGGAACUAGGCAAAAUGGUGCCGUAACUUCGGGAGAAGGCACGCUGACACGUAGGUGAAGUGAUUUACUCAUGGAGCUGAAGUCAGUCGAAGAUACCAGCUGGCUGCAACUGUUUAUUAAAAACACAGCACUGUGCAAACACGAAAGUGGACGUAUACGGUGUGACGCCUGCCCGGUGCCGGAAGGUUAAUUGAUGGGGUCAGCGCAAGCGAAGCUCCUGAUCGAAGCCCCGGUAAACGGCGGCCGUAACUAUAACGGUCCUAAGGUAGCGAAAUUCCUUGUCGGGUAAGUUCCGACCUGCACGAAUGGCGUAAUGAUGGCCAGGCUGUCUCCACCCGAGACUCAGUGAAAUUGAACUCGCUGUGAAGAUGCAGUGUACCCGCGGCAAGACGGAAAGACCCCGUGAACCUUUACUAUAGCUUGACACUGAACAUUGAGCCUUGAUGUGUAGGAUAGGUGGGAGGCUUUGAAGUGUGGACGCCAGUCUGCAUGGAGCCGACCUUGAAAUACCACCCUUUAAUGUUUGAUGUUCUAACGUGGACCCGUUACCCGGGUUGCGGACAGUGUCUGGUGGGUAGUUUGACUGGGGCGGUCUCCUCCUAAAGAGUAACGGAGGAGCACGAAGGUUGGCUAAUCCUGGUCGGACAUCAGGAGGUUAGUGCAAUGGCAUAAGCCAGCUUGACUGCGAGCGUGACGGCGCGAGCAGGUGCGAAAGCAGGUCAUAGUGAUCCGGUGGUUCUGAAUGGAAGGGCCAUCGCUCAACGGAUAAAAGGUACUCCGGGGAUAACAGGCUGAUACCGCCCAAGAGUUCAUAUCGACGGCGGUGUUUGGCACCUCGAUGUCGGCUCAUCACAUCCUGGGGCUGAAGUAGGUCCCAAGGGUAUGGCUGUUCGCCAUUUAAAGUGGUACGCGAGCUGGGUUUAGAACGUCGUGAGACAGUUCGGUCCCUAUCUGCCGUGGGCGCUGGAGAACUGAGGGGGGCUGCUCCUAGUACGAGAGGACCGGAGUGGACGCAUCACUGGUGUUCGGGUUGUCAUGCCAAUGGCACUGCCCGGUAGCUAAAUGCGGAAGAGAUAAGUGCUGAAAGCAUCUAAGCACGAAACUUGCCCCGAGAUGAGUUCUCCCUGAGACUUAAAGUCUCCUGAAGGAACGUUGAAGACGACGACGUUGAUAGGCCGGGUGUGUAAGCGCAGCGAUGCGUUGAGCUAACCGGUACU